rnacentral:rRNA from 1 species
UACGUAGGGUGCAAGCGUUAAUCGGAAUUACUGGGCGUAAAGCGUGCGCAGGCGGUUAUGUAAGACAGAUGUGAAAUGCCCGGGCUUAACCUGGGAACUGCAUUUGUGACUGCAUGGCUAGAGUUUGGCAGAGGGGGGGUAGAAUUCCACGUGUAGCAGUGAAAUGCGUAGAGAUGUGGAGGAAUACCGAUGGCGAAGGCAGCCCCCUGGGCCCAAUACUGACGCUCU